rfam:Apaloderma vittatum contig23871, whole genome shotgun sequence.
GUGCCGCUGGUGUAGUCAUAUCAUGCAAGAUUCCCAUUCUUGUGACCUGGGUUCGAUUCCUGGGCGGCACA